rnacentral:rRNA from 1 species
AAAAAAAAGUUUUGCAUAUCAAUAAGCGGAGGAAAAGAAACCAACAGGGAUUGCCUCAGUAACGGCGAGUGAAGCGGCAAAAGCUCAAAUUUGAAAUCCCCCCGGGGAGUUGUAAUUUGAAGAUUGCGUCUUGGAGGCGACCGUGUCUAUGUUCCUUGGAACAGGACGUCACAGAGGGUGAGAAUCCCGUGCGGCACGGCCCCCGGCUCCUUAUAAGGCGCUCUCGACGAGUCGAGUUGUUUGGGAAUGCAGCUCAAAGUGGGUGGUAAAUUCCAUCUAAAGCUAAAUACAGGCGAGAGACCGAUAGCGAACAAGUACAGUGAUGGAAAGAUGAAAAGCACUUUGAAAAGAGAGUGAAACAGCACGUGAAAUUGUUGAAAGGGAAGGGCAUGCCGUCAGAUUGUCAGUGUGGGUAAGAAGCGGGGUACAAAGACUGUGGAACGUGGCCCUCGGGUGUUAUAGCCGCAGUUCAUGCCCCGUCUCUUUCCGAGGCCUGCUUUGAGGACACCGACGUAAUGACGGUACGCCGCCCGUCUUGAAACACGGACCAAAA